rnacentral:rRNA from 1 species
UACAGAGGGGGCAAGCGUUAUUCGGAAUUAUUGGGCGUAAAGGGCGCGUAGGCGGCCUGGCAAGUGGAUGGUGAAAUCCCUCGGCUUAACCGAGGAACUGCCAUCCAGACUGCUUGGCUUGAGACCGGGAGAGGUGAGUGGAAUUCCCAGUGUAGCGGUGAAAUGCGUAGAUAUUGGGAGGAACACCAGUGGCGAAGGCGGCUCACUGGACCGGUACUGACGCUGAGGCGCGAAAGCGUGGGGAGCGAUCCGG